rnacentral:rRNA from 1 species
UACAGAGGUCUCGAGCGUUAGGCGGAAUCACUGGGCUUAAAGCGUGUGUAGGCGGAUCGGUAAGUACCUUGUGAAAUCCCACAGCUUAACUGUGGAACUGCUUGGUAUACUGCCGGUCUUGAGCCAGCUAGGAGCUACCGGAACAAAUGGUGGAGCGGUGAAAUGCGUAGAUAUCAUUUGGAACGCCAAUGGUGAAAAACAGGUAGCUGGGGCUGUGCUGACGCUGAGGAACGAAAGCGUGGGGGAGCAAACAGG